UAUCUGGAAAUGAACGCACUUUUAUUUAAUUCGUGGGUCAAAGACAAAAUCACAAAAGAAGUACAAAAACAUUUAGAAUUGAAUGAUAACAAUAAUACAACAUAUGAAAAUUUGUGGAAUGCAGCUAAAGGAGUGCUUUUAGGGAAACUUAAAGCUUUAAGUAUUUGGAUUAGAAAAGAAGAAAGAUCUGAAAUCAGUGAUGUAAGUUACACCUUAAGUAACUAGAAGAAGAAGAGCAGGAACAAAGUAAGCUAAAGGAAGGAAAGAAAGACGAGAAAUCAGCUAACUAGAAAACAGGCAGCAGCAGAGAAAACUAACAAGGCAAAACUUUGUUCUUUGGUAACUUGACAAACCUCAAAGCUGACUAAUCAAGAUAAAAAUAGGGGGCCGGCCCCAGGACCCAGUGGUGAAGUUCAUGUGUUCUGCUAUGGAGGUUCCCCGUUCACUGGUUCGAAUUCUGGGCACAGAAUUACUCACCACUCAUCAGGCUAUACUGUGGCUGCAGCCCAUGGAGAAGAACUAGAAUAACCUACAACUAGGAUAUACACCUAUGUACUGGGGCUCUGGGGAAGGAAAAAAAAAGAGGGAGAUUGGCAACAGGUGUUAGCUGAGGGCCAAUCUUCCUCACCAAAAGAAAAAGAAAAAGAAAAAGAGAACAAAAAUCACCGUAUUAGGAAUGAAAAAGGGAUUACUACCACAGAUACUACAGACAUUAAAAGGAUAAUGAGAGAAUGCUAUGAACAACUCUAUGUCAACUUCGAUGAAACGGACAAAUUUGUUUUGUUAAAUUUCAACUUAAAUUAAAACAAAACGAUAAAAUGGAAAAAAGAAAAAGAAAUUUAGGGACAAAUAUUACUUGGGACUACAGAGGCAAAAAUCUUUUAGCAAAACAAACUAAUAGGAUAUAAGUUUAAUAUACAAAACUGUCACCAAAUAUGUUAUAUAUAAGCAACAAAUAAUUGGAAAUACAAUUUAAAUAUCAUUCCAAGUACACUAGUGCCAGAAAUCAUCAAAUUCUUAGGAAUAAAUCUUAGAAACAAUGUCUCAGACCUCAGAAAACCAAGACACUGAAAACCAAGAAACGCUGCUGAGAGGAAGAAGCACAAAUAAAUGCACCCCCUUUUCCUAGAUAGUGAGGCUCAACGUUGCUAAGAUGGCAAUUCUCCCCAAAUUGAUCCAUAGAUCCAACAAAAUUCCAAACAAAAUUCUAGGAGGCUUUUGGUAGAAAUUGAUGAGCUGAUUUAAAAAAUUUAUAUGCAAACAUAAAAGACCUAAAAAAUAUUUAAAAUAACCAAAGCAAUUUUUAGAAAGAUGAACAAAGUUAACUUAUUUUUAGGUAAAGCAAAAAAAGCUGAGAUAAUUAGUCGUGUUUCUGAACAGUUACACUUGCAAAAUUUCCAUUGAUUUUCUUCCCAUGAUUCACUAAACAGAGGCAUAUGUAACCACUUUGGGAAUAGACAGGAGAAUUGGGGGGGAAAGUAGAAAGUCAAACACUGGCUUCCUUCACAGGAGCCUCAGAGGAAAUGCCCUUUUAGAGCAGGUUCUAGACUGGAGGUGAGACACACAGAAGAGGAGGUCACAGAAGCAUCGGGGAGAGGAAGAGAGCUCUGGUCCAUCAUAGGUAAAGAAGGGCCACAUGGAGCAGCAGGCCUUGGAAAGAGGUUUAGGGCCAAGUCUGAGAGAAAAAAACCCAGGCAGAGCUUGGUCUUCAAGGUCAGAUUCAAAGGGAAACUGCCCUUCCAUUAUGUCUCAGUCUUUUUUCCUACCUUCUCUCCCCCAAGCCUCGUGGUCCCUAAACGUCCCAGAAAGCGCUGGGCCAAGGUAAAGCAUUUAGAGUUCCAGAAAAAUUUCACCUCCCCAUCGGAACCCCUUAAGCUGCGGGGAGGGUUUCCUGAUCGAUGCCUUGCUCUCUCCCGUCCUUAGGGACAGUGCUGUGGACACAUCCCCAGCCUCAGAGGAGGUCCAGGGAGGCUGGCCCUGGUGCCUGCACCAAGCGGCAUCUCCUUCCAGUUCUCCAGAGAUCUAUGGAGUGAUUCCAGGCACGUGCUCUCCAGGUAGGUCUGGAAGCUCACUGCCAACCAGGUUGGCUUCCACUCUCGGGUCCCGCCUCUGCUCCAGAGCGAGGGUCCCUGUUCUGGAAUCUGCUCAGAGGUAGGCAGGCAGCUCACAUCCGCGCACAGGCUCCGAUUCCAGAUCCCCGGGCACCCGCCGCGCUGAACUCAGGCAGGAGGUGUGAGACCCUGGCCCCCCGCACCGCGGGAUCCUGGCUCCAAGACAGUAAUGAGCCAGAGCAGCUGUCAGAGCCUGAGGACAGACAGGAAGCACCGUUGGAAAACGGAAGGUGGUGGGAUGAAGGCUUCUUCUUUAAUUCUGGGUACCACUAAUGGCUGAAGGCAUUGGAUAGUGGUUCACGACUAUUAGCCCUGAGCUAACAUCUGCUGCCAAUCCUCCUCUUUUUUGGCUGAGGAAGACUGGCCCUGAGCUAACACCCAUGCCCAUCUUCUUCUACUUUAUAUGUGGGACGCCUACCACAGUAUGGCUUGUCAAGCAGUGCCAUGUCUGCACCCAGGAUCCGAACCGGUGAACCCUGGGCCGCUGAAGUGGAAUUUGUGAACUUAACCGCUGCGCCACUGGGCCAGGCCCAUACCAUUCUAUGUUCUAUGUCCUUUGACUAGUCUAAGUACCUAUAUAAGUGGAAUCAUAGAAUAUUUGUCUUUUUGUGACUUCCUUAUUUAUCAUCACCCAAAACUAGAAGCAACCGAGAUGUCCUUCAAUAGAUGAGCAGACAAAUGGUGGCCUAUAUCCACACCAUUAAGCAGAAAACUAUUAAGGGAACAAAAGGAGUGAACUAUUAAUCCAUGUGACAACAUGGAUGAAUGUUAAGUGCAUAUUGCUAGGCGAAAGAAGCCAGUCUGAGAAGGCUACAUGUUGUAUGAUUCCAUUUAUGUGAUGUUCUCGAAGAAGCAAAACUAUGGAGAUGGAAAAAAUGAUCAGUGAUGGCCAGGGGUUAUGGAAGGGGAGAGGGUUGACUAGGUAUAGCAUGGGGAAUUUUAGGGCUGUGAGCUAUCCUGCAUGGUACUGUAGGGACAGAUGGAAAACUAUCCAUGUAUCAAAACCAUAGGACGUUAUAGCAUGAAGAGUGGAUCUUAAUGUAUGCAAAUUUAAAAAGGUCAACCAGGAGGGUGGGGGAUCCCAGGGUGGAAUACAGACUGUGAUAAAAGCAUCCAACUGUAUUACAAAUGUCUGACCUCACCUCACUGAAGGUGGUGGGGAAAGAGACAAUGCCUAAGUAACUUUGGGAAUAAGUGGAAACAAUAAGACUAAAGACAAAAGGAACUGUACACAAGCACUGUUUUCUAGUUGGUAAAGUUGUUUUCCUCCAGGGGACAGGUUAAAAAUUCUGAAAGAGUUGUAUAUGAAUAUUGGGAUUGACAAUAAGAAAAAGGAUGGUGGACUGUGGGAGCCAAGUUUCUUACUGUUGAUAUGGGAGGUUACAGACAAGCAAGGGUGGAAAAGCUAGAGUGAACCCCACAGUGCUGACUUAGAGCUGGAGGCCUCAGUUGGAAUUAUGUUUAAUUUAAUAUAUACGUGUAUAUGCAUGCCUCAUAUACACAUAUAGUAAAAAUUUUAGAUGUGUGUAUACAUGGAUUAUUAUAUCCACACAUAUUUACCAGUUUUACCCACUGAGAAAGGCUGAAGCAAUGAUACUUGAAUAGCAACAAGCAACACAGUGCCCAGAACUUGGUUUCUAAUAUUAUUCUCUAAUGAAAGGAAUCUAGGUUCCUUGGAGAAACGUCUGGUUCUGGGGCUGGAUCAGGGAAUAUACAUGAUAAGUCUAGAGCAUUUAGUAAGCGCCAGAAAGAAAGAAAGUCCUCAAAAAAUAAAAGCAUGGGGAUAUGUCAAAGGGACUCAGGAGACAACUGAAAGAAGUCCCAAGGGACAAAAUGAACAAUUUUACACAAAAUGAGGUAAUACUAGAUUAUAGGCCAAAGUAUAAAAUAAAUACUCAUGAGUGCAUAUUGAUACAAAUAAAUGACUGAAUGAGAAGAAUAGAUGUCUCCCAUAUAGAAGAAUCCAAAUAAUUUAUGUAGAUACUCUGCCCUCAAGAAGGUGGAGCAAAACUUCCUGCCCACAGUGUCUUCCUUCAGCAGAAUAUGGAGGGGGCAGUGAAAAGUAGCUUUAUAGUGGGGGAAAUGCGGGAAACACUAGCCUGGUAUAGUGAGAUGAACGGUGACCCCUCAAAGAAAUGUCCAUGUCCCAAUCCCCAGAACCUGGGAAUGUUAAAUUAUUUGGAAACAGAGUUUUUGCAGAUUUUAUUAAGUUAAAGAUCUUGAGAUGAGGAGAUCAUCCCAGACUAUUCAGGUGGGCCUUUAUCCAAUGAUGAAUAUCCUUAUAAUAGAGACAGACAUAAGAGACAGUGAUACGAAGAAGGAGGCUGAGACUGGAGUAAUGUGGCCUCAAGCCAAGGAAUGCUGUGCAGCUGCCAGAAGCUAGAAGAGGCAAGGGAUGGAUUCUCCCGAGAGCAUCCAGAGAGAGGACAGGGCUGCCAACACCUUGGUUUCAGAAUUCAAGCCCCCAGCACUGUGAGAGAAUGAUUUUCUGUUGUUUAAGUCAUGAAACUUGUGGUAAUUUGUUUCAGCAGUGACAGAAAACUAGGACACCAGGUGCUCAAGGUCAACAUCAACAAUGAUAAAUCAAGUUGACAUUAUAUACCUUUGAUACGUUGUGUUGAGAAUGGCACUUCGUCUUGUCCCCAAACUCAUAAUCCCUGUCUAAUCAUGAUCAAAAUUUAUAAAGCCACUUCAAAGAACAUUCUAUAGUAUAUCUGACCAGUACUCCUAAAAAAUGUCAAGGUCAUCAAAAACAAGGAAAGUCAAGAAACUGUCACAGUCAGUGAAGCCUAAGGGGACAUGAAGGGGACCAAAUGUAAUGUGG
ensembl:lncRNA